GACGAACGCUGGCGGCGUGCCUAACACAUGCAAGUCGAACGGAGUUUAUGGAAGGGUAACCGGAAAUAAACUUAGUGGCGAACGGGUGAGUAACGCGUGAACAAUCUGCCUUCCAGAGGGGGAUAACGUUGGGAAACUGACGCUAAUACCGCAUAAGACCACAAUGCCGCAUGACGAAGAGGUCAAAGGAGCAAUCCGCUGGGGGAUGAGUUCGCGUCCCAUUAGGUAGUUGGUGAGGUAACGGCCCACCAAGCCGACGAUGGGUAGCCGACCUGAGAGGGUGAUCGGCCACAUUGGGACUGAGACACGGCCCAAACUCCUACGGGAGGCAGCAGUGGGGAAUAUUGGGCAAUGGGGGAAACCCUGACCAGCAACGCCGCGUGGAGGAAGAAGGUUUUCGGAUCGUAAACUCCUGUCCUCAGGGAAGAGCAGAAGACGGUACCUGAGGAGGAAGCCCCGGCUAACUACGUG
rnacentral:rRNA from 1 species